UUGAGGGUAGCUUAAUAGAAAGUUUGGGAUUCUUACUCCUAGGAUGUCAUUAGUUGACCCCUUAAG
rnacentral:tRNA from 1 species